CCACACGCAAACUCAUCUCCAUUCAUUCAUACUUCCUCCCAGCAGAAGUUAAAAGAAAAAUAGAAAAUAUCAUGUUUUCCCAGUAUUAUUGUUUUUACCACCAUCUUGUUCCAUAUUUCUUUCUCAAAGAGAGAAAAACAAAAAUCUUGGUACCCUAAAUUCGAAAAGCUAAAGACUCCACAAAUGAAAGAAGUAUCAAAUAUCUCCAAUUGUCCAUUCAAUUUAUCAUCCUUUUCUCAUUAUACCAGUAUCAGUAGCAGAGUCCUUAGAAUUUACUCUCCAUUACUCCCCCCCUACAAGUUCAUCACCAAUCCAAAGAAUAAUAAUGUUUGUUCAUCUCUAAAAUCUCAAAAUAAAGAAACAGUAAUUAGCCUAUCAUCAAUUUUGAGAGUUAUUCCUGAUUGGGCAGAUGGUAUAAAAGAGGAGCGGAUGCAAAAGAAGAGAUCUCUAUACAACCAUGAGGAUUGGGUUCAACACCGAAGUUCUCUCCGUCAUGUUCGCCAUUUCAUGUCCAGUCUAUCUUCCAGAGUAGUUCUCUCUUUAAUCCCACCAGUCGUUGCUUUCACAUCUGUUGCCGCAGUUGUAGCAACUUAUAAUUCUGCCGUGUCUACAUGGCACUUGUUGCCGGAUUUCUUCCCAAUUUUGAGAGCGUCACCAUUGCCGUAUCAGUUAACAGCACCAGCUCUUGCUCUUUUACUAGUAUUUCGUACCGAGGCAUCUUAUUCGAGGUUUGAAGAAGGGAGGAAGGCUUGGACUAAAGUCAUCGCUGGGACAAGUGAGUUUGCGCGACAAGUCGUUGCCAGUGUUGUUGAUAGGAGUGACAAUGAUACAAAUACAGCCAUAAAGAAUGCAUUGAUGCAGUACAUAAUGGCAUUUCCAGUUGCCCUCAAGUGUCAUGUAAUUUAUGGCUCAGAUUUUGUAAAAGACCUGCAACAUCUGCUUGACGAGGAUGAUCUGGCUGUCAUUCUUGGUGCACCACAUAGACCUCGUUGCAUCAUUGAGUUCAUCUCUCAAAGCCUUCAGUUGUUACACUUGGAGGAGUCAAAGCGCAGUGUCUUGGAGUCAAAGUUAUCCUGUUUACAUGAAGGCAUUGGUGUCUGUGAGCAGCUUAUGGGUAUUCCGAUCCCCCUAUCAUACACUCGCUUGACCUCAAGGUUUCUGGUGCUCUGGCAUCUUACUCUUCCCAUAAUACUUUGGGAUGAUUGUAACUGGAUCGUUGUUCCUGCUACUUUUAUCAGUGCUGCUUCCUUGUUCUGUAUUGAAGAGGUUGGUGUUCUCAUUGAGGAACCAUUUCCAAUGCUUGCUCUUGAUGAAGUGUGUGAUAUGCUUCACAAUAGCAUUCGAGAAUCCAUCACAAAUGAGAAACUGAUCAGGAAUCAGCUUCUUGCAAAGAAAAAGUGUAGUCGUAGUAGCAGUAAUACUGCUCGAGGCAGCAUGAAACAUUCUACGAUUGGUCGGCACAACUUUUGAGGAUAUAGAGAGGAUGCAUGUGGUAUGUCACUGCUCUUGUUAUCUAGUUUAUUACCAGAUUAUCGAAUUUCUGAAAAAUGAAAUAAGCAGCCACAAUGGAUUACCAAUUGGCACAUGAAGUUUGAUAGGCAUUGGUCCUAUGUAGUCUUAGUGACCACCACCAAGGCUUUAGAAACUUCAAGCAAGUCGUGUUUGUUCUUUUCACACCUUUCUUAUGCUAACAAUGGAUUAUCGAUUGACACCUGAAGUUUGAUAGGCAUCGGUCCUAUGUACGUCUUAGUGCAUAGAGUCGUUUUGUUAACUUGCAGUGUAUGAUAUACAUCAUAACCACCACCAAGGCUUGAAAAGAAUAUUAUCUUCUUCCACUAUUAAUACCACUCCCUAAAACCAUCGUGAGGCUUGAGCUCCAUAGGGUAAUGUAACUUCGAAAUAAUGUAGGUAUGGAGCCCAUUGUAUAUUGAAGUAUUAUGACCAGUUGUUGAGAAAUGCCACUGAUGACCAAUUACAUGUUUUCCAAUCUUUGCUGUAAACAUUCUCUUUUGGGUCCCUUGCGUACUUUAUUAUUCUUGUUUCAAUGAAAUGAGAAUUAUGAGUAUCACGUAAAGAUAAGCUGAGGAUUGACUGCAUGUGAGAUCAAGGAAUGAUGUUGUUGCAUGUGUUACGUAAUUCAGCCAAACAUAGACUAGGAAGUAAGUUCUAAUCAUUUGGAAUCUGAAGUCGGCCAAUCUGACAGUGAAGCAAUUGAAGUCACAGCUUAAUGAUUCCUAUCGUAGGUGUAGGAAUUGCAUCAUGUCAAGUCCCAGUUAAGGUCAUAUUCAGUUAUGUGGAGAGGGUGCACUGAUGGGUUUUUUCAACAUGCUGAAGAGAGGAAUAGAUCCUGAUGUACGCUUUUUAUCUUGCAGCGAUUAGUGCAUGGUCGCAGAAUUUUUAUUACAUGACCAGAGAAUUUUUACCCCGUAAUGGGACAUUAUGCAACAAUGGUGGAUCUUCUUGGAUAGGUUCUUGAGCCCUUGCAGAGUUCACAGAUUCAAGAUGGUAAGCUUUUAUGGACAAGAAUCAGUGGCUCAUUUCACGUCAAAAAACAGCUAGUCAUUACAAGCUUUUGUCAAGUUUUUGUGCCGGCAAUGGAUUUCCGGUGAAGCUAGUAAGAUCAGACUCGCAAGACCUGUACAGUUUCAGUACAUUUAGAAGAAAAGCAAAAGAACUUCAUAUAGUGUUUUUUUUUUCUAUACAAGAAUCUCAAUAGGAUUUUAUUGGUUUUGGAAACGGAUAAUUAAUAAUCCUGUAUUUCUGCUUAAUUUCAAUGAUACAAUCCGCAAAAAAA